GGAUGGGAUUGGGAUGACGAUGAGAUGGGGAUUGGAAUAGGAUUGGGAUUAGGAUAGGCUUGUGAUGGGAUGAAGUGGGAUGGGACUGAGAUAUUGGGAUGGGAUUGGGAUUAGGAUGGGAUUGGGGUGAGAUGGGGAUGGGAUGAGACUGGGAUUGGGAUUGGGAUGGGAUUGGGGUUGGGAUGGGAUGAGAUAGGGAUUGGGAUGGGAUUGGGGUUGGGAUGCAAUGAGAUUGGGAUUGGGAUUGGGAUGAGACUGGGGUGGGAUGGGGAUGGGAUGAGAUUGGGAUUGGGAUUAGGAUGGGAUCGGGGUUGGGAGGGGAUGAGAUUGGGAUUGGGAUUAGGAUGGGAUUGGGGUUGGGAUGAGAUUGGGAUUGGGAUUAGGAUUGGGUUGGGAUGAGAUUGGGAUUGGGGUUAGGAUGGGAUUGGGGUAGGAUGGGGAUGGGAUGAGAUUGGGAUUGGGAUUAGGAUGGGAUUGGGGUAGGAUGGGGAUGGGAUGAGAUUGGGAUUGGGAUUAGGAUAGGAUUGGGGUUGGGAUGAGAUUGGGAUUGGGAUUAGGAUGGGAUAGGGGUAGGAUGGGGAUGGGAUUGGGAUGGGAUGAGAUUGGAUGAGAUUGCGAUGGGAUGAGAUUGGGAUUGGGAUUAGGAUGAGAUUGGGGUAGGAUGGGAUUG
ensembl:lncRNA